UUUCUACUCCCUCCGUCUAAAAAUACUUGUCAUAAAAAUGGAUAAAAAGAAAUGUAUCUAAAACUAAAAUACGUCUAGAUACAUUUCCUUUUAUCCAUUUUGAUGACAAGUAUUUCCGGACGGAGGGAGUAUUUG
rnacentral:pre_miRNA from 1 species